GUAUUCAUUGUCUAAUAGAUAAGUCAGAGGUCUUCUAAACCUUAGGUAUGAGUUCAAAUCCUAUUAAACACA
rnacentral:tRNA from 1 species